UGCUAUGGAUAAGGCUUUGGCUUAUGGGGAUAUUGUGGUUGAUCUGUUCUAUCCAGAUGACUGAAACUUUCUCCAUAGCAGC
ensembl:miRNA MIR1261 microRNA 1261